rnacentral:rRNA from 1 species
UACAGAGGUGGCAAGCGUUGUUCGGAAUUACUGGGCGUAAAGGGCGCGUAGGCGGUCCCGUCAGUCCCUUGUGAAAGCCCCCGGCUCAACUGGGGAGGGUCACGCGAUACUGAUCGACUCGAAGGCAGGAGAGGGUAGUGGAAUUCCCGGUGUAGUGGUGAAAUGCGUAGAUAUCGGGAGGAACACCAGUGGCGAAGGCGGCAUCCUGGACCAAUAUUGACGCUGAGGAGCGAAAGCCAGGGGAGCAAACGGG